rnacentral:rRNA from 1 species
GCAUGCGAGCUAUCCGUGCAAGUCGAGUGGAGCGAUCCUAGCUUGCUAGGAGGCGUCGAGCGGCGGACGGGUGAGUAAUGCAUAGGAAUCUGCCCGAUAGUGGGGGAUAACCUGGGGAAACCCAGGCUAAUACCGCAUACGUCCUACGGGAGAAAGCAGGGGAUCUUCGGACCUUGCGCUAUCGGAUGAGCCUAUGUCGGAUUAGCUAGUUGGUGAGGUAAUGGCUCACCAAGGCCGCGAUCCGUAGCUGGUCUGAGAGGAUGAUCAGCCACAUCGGGACUGAGACACGGCCCGAACUCCUACGGGAGGCAGCAGUGGGGAAUAUUGGACAAUGGGCGAAAGCCUGAUCCAGCCAUGCCGCGUGUGUGAAGAAGGCUUUCGGGUUGUAAAGCACUUUCAGUGAGGAAGAACGCCUUCGGGUUAAUACCCUGGAGGAAAGACAUCACUCACAGAAGAAGCACCGGCUAACUCCGUGCCAGCAGCCGCGGUAAUACGGAGGGUGCGAGCGUUAAUCGGAAUUACUGGGCGUAAAGCGCGCGUAGGUGGCUUGAUAAGCCGGUUGUGAAAGCCCCGGGCUCAACCUGGGAACGGCAUCCGGAACUGUCAGGCUAGAGUGCAGGAGAGGAAGGUAGAAUUCCCGGUGUAGCGGUGAAAUGCGUAGAGAUCGGGAGGAAUACCAGUGGCGAAGGCGGCCUUCUGGACUGACACUGACACUGAGGUGCGAAAGCGUGGGUAGCAAACAGGAUUAGAUACCCUGGUAGUCCACGCCGUAAACGAUGUCGACUAGCCGUUGGGGUCCUUGAGACCUUUGUGGCGCAGUUAACGCGAUAAGUCGACCGCCUGGGGGAGUACGGCCGCAAGGUUAAAACUCAAAUGAAUUGACGGGGGCCCGCACAAGCGGUGGAGCAUGUGGUUUAAUUCGAUGCAACGCGAAGAACCUUACCUACCCUUGACAUCGAGAGAACUUUCCAGAGAUGGAUUGGUGCCUUCGGGAACUCUCAGACAGGUGCUGCAUGGCUGUCGUCAGCUCGUGUUGUGAAAUGUUGGGUUAAGUCCCGUAACGAGCGCA